GUAACCCUGCUCAGUAUGAGAGGAACUGCAGUUUCAGACAUGUGGUGUCUGGUCUUGGCCGAGGAGCCAGCGGUGUGAAGCUGUGUUCUGUAUUAUGACUGAAUGCCUCUAAGUAAGAAUCCC
rnacentral:ncRNA from 1 species